rnacentral:rRNA from 1 species
AUUGAACGCUGUCGGCAUGCCUCACACAUGCACGUCGACCGAGUGGCGGACGGGUGAGUCAUGUCUGGGAAACUGCCUGAUGGAGGGGGAUAACUACUGGAAAUGGUAGCUAAUACCGCAUCCCAUCGUAUUUUCCCAGAUGGGAUUAGCUAGUAGGUGGGGUAAAGGCUCCCCUAGGCGACGAUCCCUAGCUGGUCUGAGAGGAUGCCCAGCCGCACUGGAACUGAGACACGGUCCAGACUCCUACGGGCGGCAGCAGUGGGGAAUAUUGCACAAUGGGCGCAAGCCUGAUGCAGCCAUGCCGCGUGUAUGAAGAAGGCCUUCGGGUUGUAAAGUACUUUCAGCGGGGAGGCGUUACCCGCAGAAGAAGCACCGGCGAACUCCGUGCCAGCAGCCGCGGUAAUUC